rnacentral:lncRNA from 1 species
CGUCGAUCUUGAUGUUCAGAAGCACCAUCCCUGCCGUUAGAUCUUGGCUUAAAGCAGGCGAAAAGUAUGGGGCCACCGGCACGGAUGUUCCGUAGAGAAACGGCGACCAUACCGUCACAUCAAGGUGACCUUGGUAAGUCGCCGGCAGUAAAGUUGCCAACGUCACCUAUUCAAGAACUUAGCCAAAUUUUAGUCCCAAACUAUUAUUUAACAUCACAAAUAUUAUAAAUUAUAACUUCUUUAAACCAACAUGUAAACUCUAGUCAAUUCUCGUUUCUUUUUAAUACAUGCACGUUGAGAUCUCUGUCUAUUAACAAUUAAGAUUCGUCGGUCCUUUCGUAUAAGUACUUCUAACAUGAAUCUUUAGCGUACGAAAAAUAUAUCACGCGCGAAGAUUCCUCAGUACUCUGGUGUAUUCGUAAAAUAUGCAUUGAUGUUAAAAAGAAAACUAAACCCAAAUUAUGAAGUAUAGCUAGACAUAUUUUUGGUUUGUGAUCGGUCGUGUCACAACAAGGUUCGUCGGUCCAUUAUUUUUCUUGAUAACAUUUUUACUCUAGUAAGAUUUUUUUUUUUCAUCCCUUUGCUUAAACGUCAACACCACAUCGCUGGACAAGCUGGUACUUAACAGCUGGACCUUCACCGGAAAAGUGACCGGCAAGAGUAAUGUAAGCUGGACAAUUGACGUGUAGGCGGUACCUUCCGGAGAUCCACGUUCCCACUUUCCAUCGAACCCAACCGUCGAUCUUGAUGUUCAGAAGCACCAUCCCUGCCGUUAGAUCUUGGCUUAAAGCAGGCGAAAAGUAUGGGGCCACCGGCACGGAUGUUCCGUAGAGAAACGGCGACCAUACCGUCACAUCAAGGUGACCUUGGUAAGUCGCCGGCAGUAAAGUUGCCAACGUCACCUAUUCAAGAACUUAGCCAAAUUUUAGUCCCAAACUAUUAUUUAACAUCACAAAUAUUAUAAAUUAUAACUUCUUUAAACCAACAUGUAAACUCUAGUCAAUUCUCGUUUCUUUUUAAUACAUGCACGUUGAGAUCUCUGUCUAUUAACAAUUAAGAUUCGUCGGUCCUUUCGUAUAAGUACUUCUAACAUGAAUCUUUAGCGUACGAAAAAUAUAUCACGCGCGAAGAUUCCUCAGUACUCUGGUGUAUUCGUAAAAUAUGCAUUGAUGUUAAAAAGAAAACUAAACCCAAAUUAUGAAGUAUAGCUAGACAUAUUUUUGGUUUGUGAUCGGUCGUGUCACAACAAGGUUCGUCGGUCCAUUAUUUUUCUUGAUAACAUUUUUACUCUAGUAAGAUUUUUUUUUUUUGAACAACAGUACGAAUUUUUUUGUUCUUUUGAUUUUCCUAAGGAAAUGUUUUAACAAGAAUUGCAUCGAAGAAGCGCUAUAUAAUUCAACAUACCUGC